CUCUUAUCCCGAGCUGGUGGAGGGACAGGCCCUAUGAAACCCAGCAACCUGCUCUGCAAAAAAAGCAUGAUGCUUUUGCGGUCCAAACAUUUGGAGCGAAGGUGCUAACCUGGAGCAAGACGUGUGUCUUGAACGAUAAGAG
rnacentral:ncRNA from 1 species